GCCUGCAUCCACAUUACAGAAUGGUUGUUAGCAGCUGAUGAGUUGUGUGUUAACUUGAGAUUUGGUCUGUGUCACGGGGCAGGUUGGCUCAUAAGAAUUAAAAGCACUACAGCCCUCAUACUAAGGGUCUGUAUGUGUGGAUGGGACGAUACUCGAGUUAAAAUUUUGCAGCGAAGACAAGCACACUGUGGGAUGGUGGGCAUGGCAGGCUCUGCAUACGAUCCGUAAGAGGUUAAUAUGACAUGUUUUUGUAAUGAGCUGGCUAGUGUGUAUAUGUACCAUUGCUCUCUACUAGGUAACAAUAGAACUGCUCAAGUAUUGUAUGUGUCAUAGGUCCUAUAUUUUUAACAACUUAUUGUGAUUCCCUUUUAGCCCAUAUAAUGGCCUAUGAUUUUGGAGCAGAAGGAUCCAACUUCUAUUUGUACUCUUGCAAUGAAGUUCUCAGUAAUUGGGGUGUGCUAUAUAGUGACAGCUAUAAAGUCCAGGGUGAUCAGAUUUAUACAGGGCCUUAGGAGUACAUGGAUCUUUACAUACAGAUGCAGAAUUACAGGAUACUGCCUAACAGGCUUACAAUCUACAUUUAGAAAUAGCAUAAGUAAUGACAUUGGAGGAGGUUUGGGGGAAGGAAGAACAAGGAUUACAGAAUGAUAAUCCUUUGUUUUCUUUUGCAUGCAUCUUGAUAUUUCCACAUAUAUUUUAACAAAUUAAUAUUGUUUAGAGCAAAAUUAAAGUUUUUUUUCUCUCUCCUUAUUGUCAAGAGAGUUGGAGAGGAGGUUAAUAGUGGAUGGAGAGGGCAGAGCUGGGGGUGGAAGAAGAUUGUUGUGUCGGGUGCAUGAGAACGGUAGAGGGGAUCAGACUGUAGUGGGAGGAAGAGAGAGAAGAGUAGCGGAGUGGAAUGUGGGGACAAAAGAAGGCAUGACAAAGGAGGCAGAGGUUGGUGAGAUUAGGUAAUAUGGUCAGUAAGUGAACAAUCAACAAGGCAAGUUAAAGGUUAGUGAUCAGUAUAUUAAUGGGAAGGAACUGAUAGUAUGGCAAUUGAUGGUUACACUCAGUAAGGUAAAAACUGAAUAAGCCUAGCAGAAACAGUCAGCUGUCAGCCAUGGAUGUAACUACAUGUUUUGGUCUCGUCUGUACUGUGAAGGUGGGGGAGAGUCUGGUUCUUUAUUGGCCUGAUUUUCAAAAUAGCUCCUCAAAACUCCCAUUGAUUUCAAUAGAAUCUGCUAGCUGCUGGGCACUUUAGAAAGUCUGGUCACAGCUGUUUAGUGGUAUAUUAACAGUUUGCAGGCCAGAAUUUUUCCCUGAGAUAUUGGGUAUCUGUGACUCCUAGCUGAAGAUUAGGAUGGGGAUGAUGGAGAGACUAAGGAGUAAAGAUAAGGUUUCUACUGGGAUCUUAACCCCCUGACUUUAUUUUAAACUAAAAAUGAGAUAAAAUAGAUAUCUAUUGACAACUUUAACUCUCAACUAAGCGUGUGUGUUUUUCCUUUUGUUUUUUUAAAACAGAACACCAACAUUUCUGAAGUAAUUUUUUUUUCUUCCUAGCACUACUUUAAAGUAUUUUAGAGAAGGAGGAAAGAAAGCAUUAUUAUUAUGAUAAUAAUUUGCAAGUAUCUUUUAUCCAAAGUUUUCAAAACACUAAACAAAUGUGGGUAAGUGACUUGCUGAAAGUCAAACAGUGAAUAGUUUGGAAGAGAAUCCAGGUUUCCUGACUCUAAUUUCUUUCUCUAACCAGUUCUUACACAUAGCCCCUGUAUACAAUAGAGCAAAAAUGUGCAAUUGGUGGAAA